rnacentral:rRNA from 1 species
CCUACGGGUGGCAGCAGUGAGGAAUAUUGGUCAAUGGGCGAGAGUCUGAACCAGCCAAGUAGCUUGAAGGAUGACUGCCCUAUGGGUUGUAAACUUCUUUUAUAUGGGAAUAAAAUGUUCCAUGUGUGGGAUUGUGUAUGUACCCUAUGAAUAAAGAACGGCUAAAUCCGUGCCAGCACACUCGGGUAUACGGGGGGUACGGUGGUUAUACGGGUUUUUUGGGGUUUAAGGGAGAGUAGGUGGGUUGUUAAGGUAGAUGUGAAAGUGUGCGGGUCAAACGUAAAAUUGCAGUUGAAACUGGCAGCCUUGAGUACAGUAGAGGUGGGCGGAAUUCGUGGUGUAGCGGUGAAAUGCUUAGAUAUCACGAAGAACUCCGAUUGCGAAGGCAGCACACUGGCGUGCAACUGACACUGAGGCUCGAAAGUGUGGGUAUCAAACAGGAUUAGAUACCCGGGUAGUC